UUCGUGUGGGUUGUCUGAAUUUAGAGUUGAUGAGUUAGUUUUCUGUAUUUGGAGUUAAUAGGCUAGUUUGCUGUAUGAAUAAAGUUAAGUGUUGCGGUAGUUGUGAGGCGACUUGGAGGCGGGGAGAGCUUGUGGUCGGUGGGGGUGCCUGCGCCCUGGAGCCCUGGAGCGGGGGACAGCUUGUGACUACGAGAUAACGAUCUUGUUACCAUGCGAACACUGCCUGACUAAGAUUCCCGCCUUAGCUAGCUUAAUGUCUGUUAAAGUGAUUAGCCAAUCAGCAUGAAACAUGUGUGCCUUAGACUAUAUAAAUGUAUGUUUGCCAUACAAUAAAGCGGACACUUUGCUUGCAUCAAGUUGCGUCCCCGUCUCUCAAUCGCGGCAAAUUGGUGACCUCCGACGUGAUCGUCAGCGACGAAACCGCCGAGGAUUGAAAAACCGCCUACCUGGUGGCAUGUCGCGAGUCCCGCAGAACGUGGAAUGAGCUGCUGAAAGGAAGCAGGAUAAGCCGGCCGGCCAAACAAUCCCUCCGUCUGGAACGAGAGAAAGAGGCCCCCGUUGGAUCCCAGCCAAGAAUGUGAGACCUUUUCGAGAAACAUUGCAGCAGCCUCCUGAAGACAUUCCUGGGCCUGAUCCUGCGACUGAUAUAGAAGACACUACCGAUCAAUAAUUGAAUGAACUCUGUUCCAGAGGUUAACGAAUGGGAGCUUAAAUGUCCCCAAUGUGAAAAAUGUAAUCCGUGGAUUUGUAGAAUUUGUGCUAAUUGUGGAAAAUCACAGUGGCUAAAUCGCCAUACAGUAGGACGCUGGUGUGAUAACUGCCUAACAAUUGAGUGGAAUACAGUUCAGGUGUUAUUGAUAACAGGUAGAGAGACAGAAUAUUCUCCCCGGUAUGAUUAUUAUUCUGACGAUUGGGGGAAAAUUGUAGCACAAAGGUCUGGGGACAUUUUAUAUUCUAAGAUUGAAUGCGCCAAAGACAUUCAAAUGAGCAUUAUUAAUAGUAAUCCCAUGUGUGUUACAAUGCUUCCAAAAUCAAUAACUGCUUCAAUGAACAAGAUUUUCCUCGUGCAGCAAGGAGUGGACCAAGAUCAGAAAGAAAUUACAAAAACCCCCAGUACGGAGCUGUUACUGAAACAAGAUGUCCUCGAGUUGGUCCUUUGCCGACCUUGGGAGGGUCAGUUAAUUAAAACAAAAAGGGGGAGAUGUGGGUUGUCUGAAUUUAGAGUUGAUGAGUUAGUUUUCUGUAUUUGGAGUUAAUAGGCUAGUUUGCUGUAUGAAUAAAGUUAAGUGUUGCGGUAGUUGUGAGGCGACUUGGAGGCGGGGAGAGCUUGUGGUCGGUGGGGGUGCCUGCGCCCUGGAGCCCUGGAGCGGGGGACAGCUUGUGACUACGAGAUAACGAUCUUGUUACCAUGCGAACACUGCCUGACUAAGAUUCCCGCCUUAGCUAGCUUAAUGUCUGUUAAAGUGAUUAGCCAAUCAGCAUGAAACAUGUGUGCCUUAGACUAUAUAAAUGUAUGUUUGCCAUACAAUAAAGCGGACACUUUGCUUGCA